UACGUAGGGUGCGAGCGUUACUCGGAAUUACUGGGCGUAAAGCGCAUGUAGGUGGCUUGUUAAGUCCGAUGUGAAAUCCCUGAACUCAAUUCAGGAACUGCAUUGGAUACUGGCAGGCUUGAGUAUAGGAGAGGUAAGCGGAAUUCCAGGUGUAGAGGUGAAAUUCGUAGAUAUCUGGAGGAACAACAGAGGCGAAAGCGGCUUACUGGACUAUUACUGACACUGAGAUGCGAAAGCGUGGGGAGCAAACAGG
rnacentral:rRNA from 1 species